rnacentral:rRNA from 1 species
AGUGUCCUACGGGACGCAGCAGUAGGGAAUCUUCCACAAUGGACGAAAGUCUGCUGGAGCAACGCCGCGUGAGUGAAGAAGGGUUUCGGCUCGGAAAGCUCUGUUGGUAGUGAAGAAAGAUAGAGGUAGUAACUGGCCUUUAUUUGACGGUAAUUACUUAGAAAGUCACGGCUAACUACGUGCCAGCAGCCGCGGUAAUACGUAGGUGGCAAGCGUUGUCCGAAUUUAUUGGGCGUAAAGCGAG